rnacentral:lncRNA from 1 species
GUAUAACUUCUUUGGGUGACCUACAGCAGAGCAGGACCUGUUGGUUGCAGCUGCAGUAUCCGACACUGCUGAGUUUUAUUUUCAAUUGCCCAGAGCACAGAACGCUUUUUCCCACAGUUGGAGGGAUGAUGAACUGCUUUGUGAUCUCUCUGGAGUGUGGAGUCUGAUGGGGUAACUGGACAGUGUCAGACACAGUACAGCAACUUUGUGCUCUUCUGCUCAGACCAAGAAAUGAGUUCUGAGAAAUAAUCAGAUCCUUACUUCUGAAAUGUGGCAGAGAAUUGUAUGAUUCAGGGCUUGGACAGCCCACUCCACAGAAGGACAUCAAGAAUGAGGCUCACUGGCAGUUUCAGAGUAACAAGAGUAACAAGUGAUGAUAAUCUUUCUCCGCACAAUGACAUCUUUAAGAGCCAGAGAGAAAAUUACAGUCAAAACCACGUGCAUUCAGGCAAUUUAGACAAUUUUCUGUGUGCAGACAAAAUCCCUGGAUUUCUCCUCAGUGUUUAUCAAGAUUGUGCAGCGUCGUGUCCGUGA